UACGGAGGGGACUAGCGUUGUUCGGAAUUACUGGGCGUAAAGCGCACGUAGGCGGAUCUGUAAGUCAGGGGUGAAAUCCCGGGGCUCAACCUCGGAACUGCCUUUGAUACUGCAAAUCUCGAGUCCGGAAGAGGUGAGUGGAAUUCCUAGUGUAGAGGUGAAAUUCGUAGAUAUUAGGAAGAACACCAGUGGCGAAGGCGGCUCUCUGGUCCGGUACUGACGCUGAGGUGCGAAAGCGUGGGGAGCAAACAGG
rnacentral:rRNA from 1 species